GAUGAAGAACGUAGCGAAAUGCGAUAAGUAGUGUGAAUUGCAGAAUUCAGUGAAUCAUCGAAUCUUUGAACGCACAUUGCGCCCACUGGUAUUCCGGUGGGCAUGCCUGUUCGAGCGUCAUUAUCCUCCCUCAAACCUCGGGUUUGGUGUUGGACCCAAGUUGUGUGAACAACUGGUCUUAAAGACAAUGACGGCGUCCGUGGGACCCUCGGUGCAACGAGCUUUUAGGAGCACGCGUCGAGUUUCAAGGACCUUCCGGGCCGGUCUCCUUUACCAUUUUACAAGGUUGACCUCGGAUCAGGUAGGAAUACCCGCUGAACUUAAGCAUAUCAAUAAGCGGAGGA
rnacentral:misc_RNA from 1 species